UGGGGAAUAUUGCACAAUGGGCGCAAGCCUGAUGCAGCGACGCCGCGUGAGGGAUGACGGCCUUCGGGUUGUAAACCUCUGUUAGCAGGGAAGAAGAGAGAUUGACGGUACCUGCAGAGAAAGCGCCGGCUAACUACGUGCCAGCAGCCGCGGUAAUACGUAGGGCGCGAGCGUUGUCCGGAAUUAUUGGGCGUAAAGAGCUUGUAGGCGGUUUGUCGCGUCUGCUGUGAAAGGCCGGGGCUUAACUCCGUGUAUUGCAGUGGGUACGGGCAGGCUAGAGUGCAGUAGGGGGGACUGGAAUUCCUGGUGUGGCGGUGGGAUGCGCAGAUAUCAGGAAGAACGCCGAUGGCGAAGGCAGGUCUCUGGGCUGUAACUGAUGCUGGGAAGCGAAAGCAUGGGGAGCGAACAGG
rnacentral:rRNA from 1 species